rnacentral:lncRNA from 1 species
UUCAAAGAGUAUGCUACCUUCAAUUUCAAUUUACAACAAAAAAAAACCUUUAAUUUCAAUUUUCAACAUGUUGAUUGUACCAUACAUAUAAUUUCAUUAACGUACAGUCAGUCAGAUCUUUAGGUUAUUCCAUAUAUUCGAAGAACUAUUAUAGUCAAGCCACAUGUCCCAACUAUAAUAAACGACAAGAACCGUUCCUAUGGCCAUAUAUGUUUUACAGUCCAUUUUCUAUUCCCUUCUCAACGAGAUUCGAUGAAGAAAAUUAGUGGGUUCGUUGCUUUUUUCAGCAUAAGGUUUGGUUUUGGGUCUUGUUGAAUCUCU